CUUCUUCGAUCUGCUGUGGGCAAAUAAAGUGAAUAUGAGAGUCGAUACCACCCGCCGUGACGAUCUUACCUUCUGCGGCAAUCACGUCGGUACCCGGACCAACUUCAAUGGUGACGUCCGGCUGAACAUCAGGGUUACCGGCCUUGCCAAUGGCAGCGAUACGCCCACCUUUAAUACCGAUGUCUGCCUUAUAAAUUCCGGUGUAAUCGAUGACCAGAGCAUUCGUCAUGACACAAUCCAUGACUUUUUCUGAGGUGCUUUGUGAUUGCCCCAUGCCGUCACG
rfam:Oceanobacter sp. HI0075 HI0075_c176, whole genome shotgun sequence.